GCCUACGGCCAUGUCACCCUGAAAAAGCCCGAUCCCAUCUGAUCUCGGAAGCUAAGCAGGGUUGGUUGGGCCUGGUUAGUACUUGGAUGGGAGACCACCUAGGAAGACCAGAUGCUGUAGGCA
rnacentral:rRNA from 1 species